CUUGAAAUUUUUAAGAAUUUGGCGGUAAUUUAGUCUUGUUAGAGGAACCUGUCUUUGGAUCGAUAAACCACGUAGAAUCUUACUUGUUUUCACAGUUUGUAUACCGUCAUUAUCAGGUAAUUUUCAUAGAAAAAAUUACUUAAUUUUAUUGUAAUCAUAGAAAUUAGAUCAAGGUACAGCUUAUAGCCAAGUUAAGAUGGGUUACAAUAAAUUUUAUUUAUACGGAAAGUGGAUUGAAAUGAUUAACUUGAAGGAGGAUUUAAUUGUAAUAUAGAUUUAAUAUGUCUAGAAGAUAUUAGCUCUAAAUUAUGUACAUAUCGCCCGUCGCAA
rnacentral:rRNA from 1 species